rnacentral:tRNA from 1 species
UACGGGAUGGUCGAUAAAGUCGGUAGAUUGUAAAUCUAUGAAUGAGUGUGUAUACUCUUCCGUAA